ACUGACUGUGUUCAUAAUCCAGGAUAAAGAAUCACAUUAUAUGUCUCCCCUUGCUCUUGAAGUUCCUCCAUAUAUGAGUCCUUAUUGCAGGAUCCAGUGAAAAAACCAAACUUCCUUUUUCCUAUGAGUGCUAUGCGCAUUGAGCGACUCCAGAAGUUGUAAUUUUCUGAACUAGUGAGAUUGAUGGGGACGAGUACAACAUUA
rnacentral:lncRNA from 1 species